rnacentral:rRNA from 1 species
GGAAUCUUGGGCAAUGGGCGAAAGCCUGACCCAGCAACGCCGCGUGAGGGAUGAAGUAUUUCGGUAUGUAAACCUCGAAAGAAUGGGAAGAAUAAAUGACGGUACCAUUUAUAAGCUCCGGCUAACUACGUGCCAGCAGCCGCGGUAAUACGUAGGGAGCAAGCGUUGUUCGGAUUUACUGGGCGUAAAGGGCGCGUAGGCGGCGCGGUAAGUCACUUGUGAAAUCUCUGAGCUUAACUCAGAACGGCCAAGUGAUACUGCUGUGCUAGAGUGCGGAAGAGGCAACCGGAAUUCUUGGUGUAGCGGUGAAAUGCGUAGAUAUCAAGAGGAACACCUGAGGCGAAGGCGGGUUGCUGGGCCGACACUGACGCUGAUGCGCGAAAGCCAGGGGAGCAAACG